rnacentral:rRNA from 1 species
UACAGAGGUCCCAAGCGUUGUUCGGAUUCACUGGGCGUAAAGGGUGCGUAGGUGGCAGGGUAAGUUUGAUGUGAAAUCUCCGAGCUUAACUCGGAAACUGCAUUGAAUACUAUCCUGCUUGAGGAUUGGAGGGGGGACUGGAAUUCUCGGUGUAGCAGUGAAAUGCGUAGAUAUCGGGAGGAACACCAGUGGCGAAGGCGGCGACCUGGACGGACACUGACGCUGAGACGCGAAAGCGUGGGGAGCAAACAGG